ACGGGUGAGUAACACGUGGGUGAUCUGCCCCGCACUGUGGGAUAAGCCUGGGAAACUGGGUCUAAUACCACAUACGACCACACUGUAGACAGUGUGGUGGAAAGCUUUUGCGGUGUGGGAUGAGCCCGCGGCCUAUCAGCUUGUUGGUGGGGUAAUGGCCUACCAAGGCGGCGACGGGUAGCCGGCCUGAGAGGGUGGACGGCCACAUUGGGACUGAGACACGGCCCAGACUCCUACGGGAGGCAGCAGUGGGGAAUAUUGCACAAUGGGCGCAAGCCUGAUGCAGCGACGCCGCGUGGGGGAUGACGGCCUUCGGGUUGUAAACUCCUUUCGCCCGGGACGAAGCCCACCUGGUGGGUGACGGUACCGUGGAGAAGAAGCACCGGCUAACUACGUGCCAGCAGCCGCAGUAAUACGUAGGGUGCAAGCGUUGUCCGGAUUUACUGGGCGUAAAGGGCUCGUAGGUGGUGUGUCGCGUCGUCUGUGAAAUUCCGGGGCUUAACUCCGGGCGUGCAGGCGAUACGGGCACGACUAGAGUGCUGUAGGGGUAACUGGAAUUCCUGGUGUAGCGGUGAAAUGCGCAGAUAUCACGAGGAACACCGAUGGCGAAAGCAGGUUACUGGGCAGUUACUGACGCUGAGGAGCGAAAGCAUGGGGAGCGAACAGGAUUAGAUACCCUGGUAGUCCAUGCUGUAAACG
rnacentral:rRNA from 1 species